CUGCUGUUGUCGUCCUCUCCAACCACUGGAGUCAUUCAACAGUGUAGCGAUGUUGAAACCAUCCCCAACCUCCUUUGCAAGGACCUUAAGCUGUUUUGAGUUACUCUGCAAAAUUCCUGAGGAUACCAUCUGACAAACAAGGCAAAGAAAAUUGUCGAUCAGUGCAAUAGAAGUUCCAUGAUUCUACCAGCAGCAGUGUCAGCUGCCACCCCUGUACCUAAGAGAACACAGUUUACGAUGAUCAAAUGGAGGUUCC